rnacentral:rRNA from 1 species
AACGAACGUUGGCGGCGUGGAUUAGGCAUGCAAGUCGAGCGAAUCCCAGCAAUGGGGGAAGCGGCGAAAGGGGCAGUAAGGCAUGGGUAACCUACCCUGGGGACUGGGAUAGCCCUUCGAGAGAAGGGGUAAUACCGGGCGAUGAGCGAGCGGGGCAUCCCGUUUUCUCCAAAUGAAUUUCGCCCUGGGAGGGGCCCAUGUGAUAUUAGCUAGUUGGUGAGGUAACGGCUCACCAAGGCGAAGAUGUCUAGCGGGUGUGAGAGCACGACCCGCGCCACUGGCACUGAGACACUGGCCAGACACCUACGGGUGGCUGCAGUCGAGGAUCUUCGGCAAUGGGCGCAAGCCUGACCGAGCGACGCCGCGUGGGCGAUGAAGGCCUUCGGGUUGUAAAGCCCUGUCGAGAGGGAGAAAGGGAAACUUGAUCUAUCUCUGGAGGAAGCACGGGCUAAGUUCGUGCCAGCCGCCGCCGUAAGAC